UAGCAGAGGUCCCAAGCGUUGUUCGGAUUCAUUGGGCGUAAAGGGUGCGUAGGCGGCGCGGUAAGUCGGGUGUGAAAUCUCGGGGCUUAACUCCGAAACUGCAUUCGAUACUGCCGUGCUUGAGGACUGGAGAGGAGACUGGAAUUUACGGUGUAGCGGUGAAAUGCGUAGAUAUCGUAAGGAAGACCAGUGGCGAAAGCGACCCACUGGAUCUCUACUGACGCUGAGGCGUGAAAGCUAGGGGAGCAAACGGG
rnacentral:rRNA from 1 species